CCCUUAGAUGUCCGGGGCCGCACGCGCGCUACACUGAAGGAAUCAGCGUGGCUUUCUCCCUGACCCGAAAGGGUUGGGAAACCCGUUGAAUCUCCUUCGUGAUAGGGAUUGGGGCUUGAAAUUGUUCCCCAUGAACGAGGAAUUCCCAGUAAGCGCGAGUCAUAAGCUCGCGUUGAUUACGUCCCUGCCCUUUGUACACACCGCCCGUCGCUCCUACCGAUUGAAUGUUCCGGUGAGCUCUUCGGACUGCGCGGUCUGCAGUUUCUGCGUUCCGUGCGGAAAGUUGCGCAAACCUUAACAUUUAGAGGAAGGAGAAGUCGUAACA
rnacentral:rRNA from 1 species